CUUUCAAGUAAAUCCAUACCCCCUAACAGCAGUGCCCGGUGAAGCAGGAUUUCGGUGGGCGGGGUAAAACACAUAACCAGAACUGCCGAAAGGGGUGAACAUGCCCAAAAGUGGGGAGUGUCUGCCCAAAGAAUUGGAAGUCCAGCCAGGCAUGCAUGCAUCAAUAUAAUUACCAAUAUGGAUCCCUGUUGUGGGCCAAAAUGUUGUUUUG